UGGGACUACAGGCGCCCGCCACCACGCCCGGCUAAUUUUUUGUAUUUUUAGUAGAGACAGGGUUUUACCGUGUUCGCCAAGAUGGUCUCGAUCUCCUGACCUCUUCGUCCGCCCGCCUUGGCCUCCCAAAGUGCUGGGAUUAGAGGCGUGAGCCACCGCGCCCGGCCGGUCCACUAAUUCUUUUAAACUCUGUAAGGCAUUUUUUUUUCCUGUUUAAAUAUAUAUCGACAUUAGAUAGCUUUGGCUGUGGCAAAGAGGACCUGCUAUUGUAGGUCUGUGGGCUGGCAGUGACUGGGCGGGGCUCAUCUGAGAUUGGCGGGGCUCGGCUCUGUGCCAUGUACUGUCUCAUUCCGGAACAUGGACGGAAGGCGGGGUCGCUGUUGGGCAUGCUGUUCUCAGGAGGGCAAGCAAAGCUCUGGGGCACUGCUUCUGAAAGCCUCUGCUCACAAUCGGCAGCUGACACCUGCAGACAAUCUCCACUGUUGCAAGAUGUCCCUCUUCAUGGAGAGCUGCCUGAAGCUGAGAAGGGUGCGACGGACCUGAAGGCUGCACAGCGCCGGGUCUUACCCAAGGCUCAAGGUGACCGCUGCCUGGUUUCUGCUGGUGUUUAUUCAAAGCCCAAGGGCUCUCCAGUCAGCAAGUGGUGAAUCUAGUCAGACAUGUGUCCUACGCUUCAGGGCAAUGAGCUUCCCCUCAGCCUAAGAUUCCAUUAUGACAUUAGUCUCUGGUCACAAUUAUCUGAAGCCUUGCAGGAUGCACCAUUCCACUUCAUCCUGUCUUCAUCACAAGAAGAAAAUCAGUGGUUCCUCUGCCUUGUUCCUCCUUCCAGUGGAUUGCAUAUCCAGAUAAUGUUGAACUUGGGAGCCUUCAUGCUUUGAUCAGUAAAAUCUUGAAUGAAUGGAAGUUGACAUAAGCU
rnacentral:lncRNA from 10 species